CGGCGCUUAGAACAGUGCUUUGCACAUAGUAAGCGCUUAACACAAUGCUAUUAUUAUUAUUAUUAGCUGGGCGAGAUUCUGGCUCAGGUGGGUUUCCUACAUUUUAGCCCUUGAUUUUCUAGAGCUGAUUUCCCGGUAAGCGGGGAAAAGAUGGUGCCGGGAGAAAACGGCGUCCCAGGUCCUGAGGUUGGGGUGAGCACUGCCUGUUUCUCCCCAGGUGCUCGGCUCCGAUGCCAGAACUGUAAAAGGGAAGGGCGGGGAGGGGGGAAAGAGUCAAUCCUGCCGAAAGUUAAAGGCAGAGCCGUUUCCUCGUGGAUCUGAACGUGCUUCUUUCUGUUGGAUGUGCAAGAAGCAGAAGUCACAGCCUCCCCGUGCGGCUCUUCAAGCUCUGUCACGAAACACUGAAAGUGGCCAAAACAGGCCGAUAGCCUCCCGGAGCCUAGUGACAUUCAAAUCUCUCUCUCUCUCUUCCUUGCCUUGAGGCUGUUCUGGGCCCUCUGCCCAACUUAAAAGGGUGGGGGAACGAUUCCCAUCGGAGCCUUGAGCGGAAAGAACCCAGGACUGCUGACUGAAGUUGGGUUUCUUUCUUUCCACAGCACCAGAAGUCGCAAACCCAGUGGAAUGCUCGGCAUCUAACUCCCCAAGGCGGUGGGGAAAGGAUCAUCUUAAAAGCGCGGCCAACUGUACCUCUACCGUCUGAAUUUCAAGUGCCUGUUCCGAAGCGUUAUGAGAGAAGGAGAAAAAGAGCCACGCGAGGCAAAGGAUACGUGACGGGUGACGUGUUCCCAAUGAUCCAGUAGAUGGACAGGUUUACCAUGAAGGCCACCACACCGGACAGCAGCACCAUAAGCUGUGGAUCAACAGACAGUGAGGAUUUGUCAUUCUGCCAAAGGAUGUUUCCUCAAAACUGACUGACUCUCAAAUAGGCACCUCUCUGUGAGGCAGAGAAAAAACGGGAUUUUGGUUUGGGAAAAGCAAAACCGGCAAUGGGAGGGAAUAAUAGUCGUGCUUGAUCCUGGAAAUUCAGCGACAAUUUCUGUGAUUAAACUAGUUCAGAGUUCUGGACUCGGACAAUGGCACUACGAAAGCUUUUUCGUAUUUAUCGCUUUAGGGGAAAUAAACACUUUCAUUGAGCGUC